CAGCAGCCACGGUAAUACGUAGGGUGCGAGCGUUAAUCGGAAUUACUGGGCGUAAAGCGUGCGCAGGCGGUUUUGUAAGACAGGCGUGAAAUCCCCGGGCUCAACCUGGGAAUGGCGCUUGUGACUGCAAAGCUAGAGUGCGGCAAAGGGGGGUGGAAUUCCGCGUGUAGCAGUGAAAUGCGUAGAUAUGCGGAGGAACACCGAUGGCGAAGGCAAUCCCCUGGGCCUGCACUGACGCUCAUGCACGAAAGCGUGGGGAGCAAACAGGAUUAGAUACCCCCGUAGUCCCUGUCUCUUAUAC
rnacentral:rRNA from 1 species